GACGAACGCUGGCGGCGUGCUUAACACAUGCAAGUCGAACGAAGUGGCGAACGGGUGAGUAAUACGUGGGUAACCUGCCCUCCUGUUUGGGAUAAGCCUUGGAAACGGGGUCUAAUACCGGAUAUCGGGGGAGGGGCUCGCGGCCUAUCAGCUUGUGGGUGGGGUGAUGGCCUACCAAGGCGGUGACGGGUAGCCGGCCUGAGAGGGUGACCGGCCACAUUGGGACUGAGACACGGCCCAGACUCCUACGGGAGGCAGCAGUGGGGGAUAUUGCACAAUGGGCGAAAGCCUGAUGCAGCGACGCCGCGUGUGUGAAGAAGGUCUUCGGAUUGUAAAGCACUUUAAGUUGGGAGGCGUUACCAACAGAAUAAGCACCGGCUAACUUCGUGCCAGCAGCCGCGGUAAUAC
rnacentral:rRNA from 1 species